CCAUUUCUCACCUUCCUCGUACCCCCUGUAACGCCAGCAUAUCACCACCGCUCCUCCGCCGUCCGCCGGCGGCGGCGAUGCACUGAUUGACCCCACAAUUACACUAUAGAUACUCCUCCAUCUCCUCUUUCCAUAUCCGGGUUUAGUUUCCUUCAAAUACCACCCCAAAUCUCCGAAUAACCAAAACCUUAGCACCCCCACCACCGUGCACGGCGGCGCCGCCGUCCAAACUCAACCAAACUCACACCCCAUAACCCCCAGGUCACCACAAACCCAUACUCUUGGUUAUUUCAUAGAAAACUCUAAUCGGAUGGCCCCAACUUCACAUCUAGGGUUCUAAGCAAGGUUGAAAUUGCGACUUAUGAUUACCAGUGUCUAAUGACCCUGAAAGUGAUAUUAUGUGUUUAUUUGACAUGGAAUAAACGUAUAAUAUUAAUUUUGGGGUCAAUUUCAAGUUAGUGCAUCAACGUCA
rnacentral:lncRNA from 1 species